rnacentral:lncRNA from 1 species
AUCCUAGCUUCUUAUUGAAUGAAAUUUCUGUAGGCCUUCUGAACAAAGAAAAUUAUGAAAUUUUAAUAAUUUUUUUUUAUGAGAUCAUUUUGAAUGGUGUUACUGUAAUGCAUGGAUAAUUGAAUAAAGAAAUUUACAUUGUAUCAUGGCUUAGUGUAAUAUACACAUCGAGAAAAUAUGCUAGGAUAGAUGAUGUCUUGGAUGGCUUCCUUUGGCAUUAUAGGCUAGGUCAUAUUAACAAAAAUAGGAUGAACAAGUUAAUCUGAGAGAGAAUCCUUAAGGUCAAUGAUUGUAAAUCAUUGCCAACCUGUGAAUCUUGUCUACUUGGAAAGAUGACCAAACUACUUUUUUAUUAGAAAAGAUGACUGAGCCAGUGAUGUUCUAAGUCUCAUACAUACUGAUGUAUGU